rnacentral:rRNA from 1 species
GUAGGUGGCAAGCGUUGUCCGGAAUUAUUGGGCGUAAAGCGCGCGCAGGCGGUCCUUUAAGUCUGAUGUGGAAGCCCACGGCUCAACCGUGGAGGGUCAUUGGAAACUGGGGGACUUGAGUACAGAAGAGGAAAGCGGAAUUCCAAGUGUAGCGGUGAAAUGCGUAGAGAUUUGGAGGAACACCAGUGGCGAAGGCGGCUUUCUGGUCUGUAACUGACGCUGAGGCGCGAAAGCGUGGGGAGCAAACAGGGAUUAGAUACCCUGGUAGUCCACGCCGUAAACGAUGAGUGCUAAGUGUUAGGGGGUUUCCCGCCCCUUAGUGCUGCAGCUAACGCAUUAAGCACUCCGCCUGGGGAUACGGCCGCAAGGCUG